CGCGUGGGUAACCUACCCUGGUACACACGGAUAACAUACCGAAAGGUAUGCUAAUACGGGAUAAUAUAUUUGAGAGGCAUCUCUUGAAUAUCAAAGGUGAGCCAGUACAGGAUGGACCCGCGUCUGAUUAGCUAGUUGGUAAGGUAACGGCUUACCAAGGCGACGAUCAGUAGCCGACCUGAGAGGGUGAUCGGCCACAUUGGAACUGAGACACGGUCCAAACUCCUACGGGAGGCAGCAGUGGGGAAUAUUGCACAAUGGGCGAAAGCCUGAUGCAGCAACGCCGCGUGAGUGAUGAAGGCCUUCGGGUCGUAAAACUCUGUCCUCAAGGAAGAUAAUGACGGUACUUGAGGAGGAAGCCCCGGCUAACUACGUGCCAGCAGCCGCGGUAAUACGUACGGGGCUAGCGUUAUCC
rnacentral:rRNA from 1 species